AUUGAACGCUGGCGGCAGGCCUAACACAUGCAAGUCGAGCGGAUGAAGGGAGCUUGCUCCUGGAUUCAGCGGCGGACGGGUGAGUAAUGCCUAGGAAUCUGCCUGGUAGUGGGGGAUAACGUCCGGAAACGGGCGCUAAUACCGCAUACGUCCUGAGGGGGAAAGUGGGGGAUCUUCGGACCUCACGCUAUCAGAUGAGCCUAGGUCGGAUUAGCUAGUUGGUGGGGUAAAGGCCUACCAAGGCGACGAUCCGUAACUGGUCUGAGAGGAUGAUCAGUCACACGGGAAAUGAGAACGGGCCCAGACUCCUACGGGAGGCAGGAGGGGGGAAUUUUGGCAAAGGGGCGAAAGCCUGAUCCAGCCAUGCGGGGGGGGUGAAGAAGGUCUUCGGAUUGUAAAGCAUUUUAAGGUGGGAGGAAGGGCAGUAAGUUAAUCCCUUGCUGUUUUGACGUUACCAACAGAAUAAGCACCGGCUAACUGCGG
rnacentral:rRNA from 1 species